rnacentral:rRNA from 2 species
UCGAACCCUGUCAAGCAGAACGACCAGCGAACAUGUUCUUCCAUCCAGUGAGGAGGGGUUGCUGGUUCACCCAGUCCCUCCUCCACGCUGGGGACCAAUCCCUUGUGGUUGCCCCCUGGCACAAUAACGACCCCCGGCGCGUGUGCGCCAAGGAACAUAAACAAGAGCGUGCCCAUCCUUGCUCGGGCAUCCGGCGCAAUGAUGUUGCACCCAAUCUUAAGUCAUAAAAUGACUCUCGGCAACGGAUAUCUCGGCUCUCGCAUCGAUGAAGAACGUAGCGAAAUGCGAUACUUGGUGUGAAUUGCAGAAUCCCGUGAACCAUCGAGUUUUUGAACGCAAGUUGCGCCCGAAGCCUUUUGGCCAGGGCACGUCUGCUUGGGCGUCACGCAUAGCGUCUCCUCCAACCCACUACGUGUGGGAGGGAGAGGAUGAUGGCCUCCCAUGCCCUCACCGGACAUGGAUGGCCUAAAUAAGGAGCCCUCGGACACGAAAGGCCGCAGCGACAGGUGGUACACAAGGCGUCCGCCUAUGAAGCAUCGCGCUAGGCAUCACGUGGCCUUGUGGGCUCGAAGGACCCUUACAAACCUUUGCGACCCCAGGUCAGGCGGGGUUACCCG